rnacentral:lncRNA from 1 species
GGUUAGUUUUGCUUUGCCCUGGAUGGGACUGCUUAGUCGGCAAAGACCUGGAUGCCUGAAAAAGGAAGGGAAGUUCUGAGUCUGGCAAUAAAAGGACCAGAGGAAGAUGAUGGUGAAGUCCAGAAGUAACACAAAAAGACUUCUGGAAAAAAAAGGGAUGCUGCUCUAACUCUGGGAGUUUGGCUGAUAUGUGAGACCUGGCUCUCUCGGGAUGACAUGGAAGGUGACCCUCUCAGGCUCUGCCUACUACCCACCAGUCUUCUGCCCCCAUCUCUAGCCUCCUUCCUGCCCUCUCUUGUGAGCCAAGCGUGCACAGAUCGCAGAGAUGUGGCAGACCGAAUGGCCCAUCACUCAGAAGUCAUGUGCACAGCCGUGGAGACCCAGUGUGGAGAAUCACUUCUGCAGGGACACAGAAAUGCGCUGCCCAGGGCGAGACAGAGGCUGGACAGGAGACUUGCCUCAGAGACAGCUGCACCAAAUCUGCUGCCACCGCUGUACACACUGGGCAUUGAGCUCGGUUUGAGAGAGGCCCUACAGCUAAAACUGGAGUAGCCCUGGCCCAGGAGCACAGAGACUGCCUUUCUCCCUACAACCCCUGUUUUCAUCGAGCCACAUAGUGAAAAGCCUUCAGUGCUAUUCCACACUGCUUACCUUUGAUACUGUUUGAUGUUUCUUUCAGCAGCUAGAUGCACUUUUAACUAAUAACAGCUAAAACACUUGA